CCCUUAGAUGUUCUGGGCUGCACGCGCGCUACACUGAAGCUAUCAACACGUUUUCCCUCCCUGAGAAGGGCGGGUAACCUUUUGAAUCAGCUUCGUGGUAGGGAUCGGGGCUUGCAAUUGUUCCCCGUGAACCAGGAAUUCCUAGUAGACGCGAGUCAUAAGCUCGCAUCGAUUAAGUCCCUGCCCUUUGUACACCGCCCGUCGCUACUACCGAUUGAACGUUUUAGUGAGGCAUUUGGACCGACGCAUCUCAGUUUAACCGCUGGUUUGUGUUGGAAAGACUUCCAAACUUGAGCGUUUAGAGGAAGUAAAAGUCGUAACA
rnacentral:rRNA from 1 species